GUUGUCGCCACAAAGCAAAUCCACCCAAAUUCUCCUUUAUGGCCUCAACGAAGAGCUCUGAUCCAGUAUUGUCAACGGUUCAUUGGCUCUCCAAUCCUUUAUUCGUAAUUGCUCGAUUUGGCUCCAAGAAGGCAUCUAUUCCCCAUUUCACUCUCCCUCUCCUUGAAAUUUGAAACCCCAUUUGCAUUUCCUCUACCAUUGCUCUCCACGAAGGCGUCUGAUCUCCAUUACUCUUGCUGGGUUUUCAUAGUCUCGGCCAUCACUCUAAGGUGGCAUGUGACUUGUGCAUCAAUUGGACAAUUGAGGUCAACACUCCUUGAGGUCAAUGGCUGAUGGUUUGCACGUGAAUUAUGAUUAUUUUGAGGGAUUAAAUCAGCUGAAAUGAUGUGGAUGACACAUGAGAAAUUAGGCACACAUUGGAAUCAUCUACAAACCAAUAGGAAGUUGCCAUCUUGCAAGUAUGACAAGGCUCCCAUUUACAUUUUAAUUUUUUUAUUAAGCUUCACCUAAUGGGAAACACCAAGGAGCAUGCCAUUUUAAACCCCAAAAUGGGAUCCAACACUCAUCUCAUUCAUCUUCCACAUUCUCUCUCUCUUGUCCAUAGUGUUCUUCAUUUUCUCUCUUUUGUUCUUCAUUUUCCAGCACCCUAACCUCCAUUUUCAGCCACCAAACCUCCACAAAACUCAUACCAUUCUUCUCCUCUCUUCAUUUUCAUUCCAUCCCUUCCAUUUUCACAAGGAUUGAAGCUCAUUUCCAUCAUUCAAGAGCUAUGGAGUUUGGCCUUCACAAGCAAUCACUAGGGUUCUUGAAGAUGAAGAUUGGCUAAGUUUCUUUAUGGAAUCCUAGAGAGAUGAAGAUGGAUGAUGAGUCUUGAGCUUCAAAUUGGCUAAGUUCUUUUGUUUCCUAUCCUCUUCUCUUUUUACUAGAUGGUUAGAUUCCUUAAUCUAGGGUUUAAUCAUCUUAGCUUAUAAAUUCUAAUUUGAAUGUGAUGUUGAUGUAAAGAGAGAGGAUUGUUUCAUUUAAUUUCUUCCUUGGACAGCCAUGACUGAAUUUUGCCACUCUUUGUUUGGCACAUAAUCUUGUGUUUUUCAAUUA